rnacentral:hammerhead_ribozyme from 1 species
GUACUGCUGAAGAGUCCCAAACAUGGACGAAACAGCUGUCCAGUAC